AUGGAUCUGGAGAGCAGCGAGCUCGCUUCUUUCAACAGGAAAAGAGGUGGAGACAGCAACGAGGCAGAGGAGCCCAUCAUGGCGAUAGCGGCAGCGGCCGAACAGAUUUUGAUUGCGGCGCCUCCAGAUCCAUCCGCAAUGACGUCCGUCUCCAUCUGCCUGGAUCAGAGGUAUGUUAUAAUCUGGCAUCCUCUUUUGUCUUCCUUUCCAUCUCCUCGUAUACACUAUGGAUCUCAAACUCAGCGACCUAGCUUCUUUCAACAGUUAAAUAGGUGGAGACACCACCGAGGCAGAGGAUUCCAUCAGCGCCGGGGUGAGAUGCGGAUGGGAGACGAGGGGCGGCUGAUAAGACAGAACAGAGGGGAGUCAGAUGCGCUAGGACCCACAAGUACUAGCAUACAGGGCUAUACCUAG
rnacentral:rRNA from 1 species